GUCAGCAUCAUCUUCAUCCUCACUGUGAUCAGUGGAAAACUCAUUGUCCUCUGAUGAACAACUCUGAUUCAUCUGAGGAGAGGACAAACCUGUCUGCAUUCAGUGGAGAGGUAGUGGACGACUCAUCGGUUGGAGCCCACAGUUCAGAGCUAAAACCACCACUUCGUCGGACACCCAGCCUGAUAAAAACCGAUUCACCAACUGUUACAAGAAAGAAGUCGGGUGUUCCCCCAAAACCUCCACAUCUGGAAAAAACUCAGGGAAAAUCAACAGAAGUUUAACCCCAGACUCACAGAAGAAGAGAAGAGAUCAGGGAGCUGCUGCAGACGCCAAACUGAAAUGAAGACUGAAGAAUUACAUGAAUGAAACA